GCUACCACGCGAGUGGAUGCCAAUCCCUAAAACCCCUCUCAGUUCGGACUGGAGUCUGCAACCCGACUCCACGAAGCUGGAUUCGCUAGUAAUCGCGCAUCAGCCACGGCGCGGUGAAUACGUUCCCGGGCCUUGUACACACCGCCCGUCAAGCCAUGGGAGCCGGGGUACCUGAAGUGCGUAACCGCGAGGAUCGCCCUAGGGUAAAACUGGUGACUGGGGCUAAGUCGUAACAAGGUAGC
rnacentral:rRNA from 1 species